CGGUGCCCAUCUCCAUCUCUCCCUACUCAGCCUCUCCUGCACGCCGCCGCCCAUGGUACCAAACUCGACCGCCAAAGCCCCUGGCCGAGCUCCCCCAUGGCGUCUCCCCCAACCAUGGUCGCCCAGGUCGUGGCCUCGCCGGAUCCCGCGCGCUCCUGUGUCGUGGCGCUGUCCCCAUGUUUUCUCCGCGCCAGCGCGCCACCGACUCUGCUUGAGCUCCUCCCUCGCCGUAGCUCACAGGUCGCCACCCCAUGGCUGCUGCUCCUCUCUCCCUCAUCUCUGCAACUCGGCGCCUCCUCUGCUCCUCCACAUGCAGUUCGCCCCAUGUUCUGGACGCCAACCCUCCAUCCCCCUACCCUCCAGCCAUGGACGCCCCAGCUCCCUUUUGUUGCUCGCUAGGGACCAUCUCGGUGCCCUCUCCUCACUUGAAGCCGGCAACAGCGUCUUGGUAGUGGUCGAGCAGCACGUCGUCGGCUCCGUGGGUUUUUUGGGCAGCCCGGUUGCGGUGUCGUCAAACCCCGCUUGCAGUUCAACAGUUGAAUUUCAUCGAGUCCCAGCCAGUUUGAUUAUAUGAACCAGAGGCAAGCCAGGAUGCCCUAGGUACAUAAAUGUGUUUCUGGUGGAGGUAAAGUUCUAAUUCCAACGUUUGCUCUGGGAAGAGCUUAGGUAUUGUAGUUCUCUUAAUUCUACUUUAUGAGACAAAGUGAUGGUUAAGUGUGAUAACUAUAUAUGACUUAAAUGAGGAAGUUUCCCUGAGAAGUACCAUUCCGAGGGCACACUGUUCAAAGGUUUCAUAAUUUGUGAUGACUUGUUCCACUUUUUAAAAAAAUCAGUAGAGUUGUCUGGACAGCUAACCUCUUGACUGCUUAUGUUUGAUUUGUAUUUGAUAUGUGCUUUUAAUUAUUUAUUAACUAGCAGUAGACUCCUAAUUCCAUGCUUGGUUAAUUACUCUGAACUUAAACUAGCUAAAUAUAGCUUAUGCAAGUUCUUAGACUGGCACAUAUCACUUGCAUCCACUGCCUGUAGCCCUGUACAUGCAAAAAAUUCGUGUUAGUAGUAUGUAAUGGCCCUAGCUACAACUGCAAAUAGUACAAGGGACAGCAGUAGAGAAAACAAAUGCGGUGAGAAUGAGAAUCAAGGUAAGUUGGCUUUCAAGCUUCUAUGCAAGUGUUUCCUGUAUCCAUAACUCUGCAAAAGUUUUGGCUAGGAUAGGAAUCAAAGGGAGAGCUAAUUCUUCCAUUGACUUGCUAGUUCGGUGGUACUCCCAACAGAAACUAAAUUGCAAGGUAAUGAACUUAACUUUAUAUAUUCCGUUUUGUGGUACUCCCAACAGAAUCUAAAAUUGCAAGGUAAUUGCAAGUGUUCUUUGCUAAUCCUCUUGACUGGUGGGAUAACAGGACAAAUAAGGUUAGACUGGGAUUGUUCAAAGUUAUAACCACUUGUCAUUUACACGGUAACAGUUUACCUCGCAUCUGAAUAAAUUAAACCUUCCUUUUGAGCGCAUUCUAAUUAGCAAACAUAAAAAAACAGAGAACACAUGAGAACUCAAGAACUAAAUAAAAAAAGUUCAAAUAUUUACUGAGGGAGAGGGAUAUAUGGUCAGUAGAGUGGGUGAAUAUUGAGACGGAAAUAAUAAACAGCCAAAUGAGUUAUGAAAGGUAUUAUUGUUUUUCUAGUGAUUUAAUGCAGACGGAAAUAAUAAACAACCAAAUGAGUUAUGAAAGGUAUUAUUGUUUUUCUAGUGAUUUAAUGCAUAUUUUGUGUGUCUUUUUAUCAUGAUCCAUAUGACGUUUAAUCUGAGUAACAUGUUACUUGCAUGAUUUUUUCUGAUGAUUGAUACUUAUAUGACUGACUAUUCACCCUUUAAAAUUAUUGCAGUUUACCAGGAUACAUAUUUUUGUAAUUGUUUGUGACAUGUUAGUCUUUUGUUUAACCUAUGUUCAUCCAUAGGGUUCUGCAAAACAUCCUUUUGUGAAAUGAUCCUCAACCGUCAAUUCUUUUAAAUGUUCCCUAGUAAAAUGAUUUAUUCUUGAUGGUUCAAAAGUUUCCCUAUUCCUUGGAUGUAUCAUAUGCAUCGGGGAUGUCAUAUUGAAGAAUCAGUAUAAUAAUAUGGACUAUUUGGAGGGGUCUUUAAAUGAGCUUGGAAGUUGGUGCAUAAGGCUGCAACACCGUCUAGUGGAGGGUGUUUUGGACAAAGAAAGCUUGUACCUUAAAACAGGAGGAUACAAGAAGCUGGAGUGGUUGUCUGAAGGCUUUUGAACUGCUUGAAGCAUUAGUGUAGCUUUGGUGCUUUUGUGACUGAUCAACUCUGGAGCAGCUAGAGUGAUGUAGUUGUGGGCUUUUGAACAAUAGCUGGAGUGAUAUGAAAUAUUAGUGAUGUAGUUGUGGGCUUUUGAACUGCUUCAAGCUGGAGUGAUGUCGUUGUGGUGCUUUUGUGACUGAUCAUCUCUGGAGCUUUUGUGAAUGAUCUAGCUAGCUAUCUGUAAAUGAUCUAGUCGUGAAUGAUAUUAUAAUUGUGAUGCUUUUGUGAAUAUAUAAUUGUGGUGCUUUUGUGUUU